UCUUCUUCUUCCUCCUCCUCCUCCUCCUCCUCCUCCUCCUCCUCCUCCCCUCCUCCGCAGUACCUGUUCAGUCCAGGUUUCCAAGGUCCAUGUUGCCAAGGGGGAUUGUCCGGUUGCGUUGGCAGUUGGUUAUUCGGCCCCCGUGUUGCUUCCUUAGAAUUCUUCCCCGCAUUGGCAUCCUAUUUGCACUCCGACUGAGUCUUUUUCUCUACUACCGAUUCUUCUUCGUCGGCGUCGGAUUCUUUAUUCUUCACCGGAGUUUUCACCACUCUCGUCGGCGCAAGAGUAGGUACAACAGACCGUUACUACUUCAGUUAACACAGAGACAGAACAUGCAGUCAAAUACAACACAAUAGAUUUAAUCAUUGGAGUCAUACAUUUAGUAUUCACACGAACAAGUGCACCACCGGUUCAUAUCAAAGAAGAAUGUACACAACAACUCAGCACGUAGUACAACAACAACCCACUAACUUAUUUUCCUUUCUAACCG
rnacentral:rRNA from 1 species